rnacentral:rRNA from 1 species
GACGAACGCUGGCGGCGUGCUUAACACAUGCAAGUCGAGCGGUAAGGCCCUUUCGGGGGUACACGAGCGGCGAACGGGUGAGUAACACGUGGGUGACCUGCCCUCAGCUCUGGGAUAAGCCUGGGAAACCGGGUCUAAUACCGGAUAUGACUCCAUGACGCAUGUUGUGGGGUGGAAAGCCUUGUGCGGCUGAGGAUGGGCCCGCGGCCUAUCAGCUUGUUGGUGGGGUGAUGGCCUACCAAGGCGACGACGGGUAGCCGGCCUGAGAGGGCGACCGGCCACACUGGGACUGAGACACGGCCCAGACUCCUACGGGAGGCAGCAGUGGGGAAUCUUGCGCAAUGGGCGAAAGCCUGACGCAGCGACGCCGCGUGAGGGAUGACGGCCUGGUGUAACUCUU